AUUGAACGCUGGCGGAAUGCUUUACACAUGCAAGUCGAACGGCAGCACGGACUUCGGUCUGGUGGCGAGUGGCGAACGGGUGAGUAAUGUAUCGGAACGUGCCCAGUCGUGGGGGAUAACGUAGUGAAAAUUACGCUAAUACCGCAUACGAUCUAUGGAUGAAAGCGGGGGAUCGCAAGACCUCGCGCGAUUGGAGCGGCCGAUAUCGGAGUAGGUAGUUGGUGGGGUAAAGGCCCACCAAGCCAAAGAUCUGUAGCUGGUCUGAGAGGACGACCAGCCACACUGGAACUGAGACACGGUCAAGGCUCCUCCGGGAGGCAGCAGUGGGGAAUUUUGGGCAAUGGGCGAAAGCCUUAUCCAGCCAUUCCGCGUGCAGGAUGAAGGGCCUCGGGUUGUAAACUGCUUUUGUACAGAACGAAAAGGUUUCUACUAAUACUAUGAGCUCAUGACGGUACUGUAAGAAUAAGCACCGGCUAACUACGUGCCAGCCGCCGCCGUAA
rnacentral:rRNA from 1 species